UUUGUAUCACGUGUUAAGGAUAAUUUACUAAGGUACUUAAUUCAGCAGUUUGUUUGACAAUUUGAAAUCAGUAAAUGGGUAAACAUAGUACUUUUAGUUGUGCUUAUGUUUCACAUAUCUUUGCAACUUUGAUGGAAGAAUUUGCUUUAUUUCAUCCUUCAAAGAAUCAAUUACAACUGCAAAAAUAAGGCCUUUUCUAAGGAAGAAUACAAUUCCUACAAGUGCAAUAUUGGUCUUCAAAUAGAGCUUUCUUGAACUUUUUUUAAAGGUAACCAGAGUUUGUAUUUGACAAUCCUUAGCACAAAAUUCAUGCCUUGGCUGGCGCAUAAAGCGGAGCACCACCAAUAGUUGGCCUACAAACAGCACAAAGUCCAUUAUAAACAAAACAAAAAUCUCUAAAAGGUUUUCCCCAAAAUAACCAUGGAACAGAGAUGGGCCAAUAAAAUGAAUUUGCUUUUAGAUUUUUAAAAAAAAACUCAGGGCUUGCACAUUAAAUAGAAGAACAAAUUUGAAAAGUUGGGAAAUAGCAAAUCAACAAAUACAGCGAAAAGAACUUACAGGCCAACAAAAAAUUGGAUACAUUAUGUGUGACAUUCAUGUGUGACAUCACACUUGGAUACAUUGUGACAAAUGUAUAUCAAACAACUAGAAAGAAUUCCUACACAAGUUAAAAAGAUCUUCCUUAAUUUUGAUUGCUUACAUAGUCUCCAAAUUUGAUAGGCUUUCAAGAUCAUUUGGUAUCUCCCCUUCCAGCUUGUUAAAGCUAAGGUCUCUGCCAAUAAAUAAAACAGAGCUUAUACUUAAGAAGGAAACAAAAACACCAAUCAGAGAGCUUAUACUUGAGUUAAAUUGCUCAAGACAGAAAUGCUAGAAGGUAUUGGCCCUUCAAAACCACUAAACCAAUUCUAGACGGUAUUUUUAAAAUAUUUUUUAAAAAUAAAUAAAUUACAAACAAAUUCUUUUUGUGUAAUUAACCUUCAUCUGUGUAUGGUCAUAUUACCCAUUUACUAGGAUCUUCAUCUGUGUAUGGGCUUUUGUUAUGCUAGGAAAUGGAUAGCACUUCCAUCCCAUAUAUUGUCUCCCUCCCUCAGAAAAGAAUGAUGAUAUUGACACUCAGAAAUACACUUUGACAAUAAUGUCUCACAUUAAUAGUUAAAAUACCAAGCAAUUUAAGAAUACUCGUCUCCUUCGUAUAAAAUGUGGAAUGCCAAUAAAAAUUAGUGGCAACUUUCUAAUAUUGUUACUGACCUGAAAAUAUUAUUUUUUUCAGAAACCUCUCUUAAGUUGAGGAGAACUGUUAGCAUCAUUACUGUUAAAUCUAAUAAGCAUAAUCAAAAUGGCCUACAUAAUCAAACUCAAUACACCCUAGUAUAUCCUAUAUAGAUCUGCAAAACUGACAACAUUGGCCAAAAGCUCGGAAAGAUGCAUAUGCACCUUAAUAGGCAGAUGUGUAUUGUGUAGUACAUAAAAGUUGUCAAACCCAUGAACACACAAUUUUAAAGAGUCGUUAUCAAACAAAACCAACUGAACAAUCUCUGAAACAAUUUAUAACAAAAAAAAAUCAACAAAACUAACAUAAAAGCAAACGAAAAGCUAGUACAUAAUAAAUUAUUCAGCGAACAGACAGAAGAAACGAGGCAAUCAGAGGAGAAGAAUAAUAUUACUUUCUAUUUUUAACACCACCCACUAUAACCCAUAACAAUAUUCAUAAAUCAAAAAGUUGUCUAUCAACACAAACAAAUCUGCAGAUUCUAGGGUUUAGCCCUCAAAAAAUAUUAGCCCUCCAAUUUUUCAAAACCAAAACACAAAAUAUAAAACAAAAGGCCUAAUUCAACACUAAAAGCAAGAAAAUCCAUCUACCCACAUCUAAUUUUCUUACCUUGCAAUGAAUCGAAGGAUUUGUCGCGAGGAGAUGGGAAGCCUGAGCGAGGAGAUGGUCGGCGAGCGAGGAGAUGGGCGAGCUGGGAGAUGGGAAGAGCAAGAAAGAGGCAGCGGGGAAAGCAGGAGAGAGGCA
rnacentral:lncRNA from 1 species